rnacentral:misc_RNA from 1 species
GUUAUCUGAUUUUAUUAGAUCUUUUGUUGGCAGGGAAUACAUGCCAUUCCCCAACAGAGGGUACAUUGUCUUACCCAUUCAACAGUUUCACAUUUAUGCCAUCAAGCGCAAGUCUCUCAAAAAUGUUUAUCACUGAGCUGAAUCAUUGGCCACAUAUAUACAAGUUGCAACUCCUAGAUCACAAAUUCUCCCAUCAGCACAUUUGUUGAAAUUGAUUCUCAAUGCAAGCAAGAAAGCAACUGUCCCAAAUUCUGUAUGAAUCGCAGAAAAUGCAAUCUGCAAGAGCUCAAGUUAUCAUGACUGCCAAUUGCUAGGCAUAAAUUUGAGAACAAUCAAGCAUAAUUAUACAAAUACUCGAUGCAAUAUAGAUGUUUUUCAACUUCAAGUAACAAUUGCAGACAACAUUAGCACUUUCAAGGUACAAAU